GGCCUGGUGGCAGAGUGGUUAUGCAGAGGACUGCAAAUCCUUGUAUGCCGGUUCGAUUCCGACCCAGGCCUCCA
rnacentral:tRNA from 8 species